rnacentral:rRNA from 1 species
UACGAAGGGUGCAAGCGUUACUCGGAAUUACUGGGCGUAAAGCGUGCGUAGGUGGUCUGUUAAGUCUGAUGUGAAAGCCCCUGGGCUCAACCUGGGAAUGGCAUUGGAUACUGGCAGGCUAGAGUGCGGUAGAGGAUGGCGGAAUUCCCGGUGUAGCAGUGAAAUGCGUAGAGAUCGGGAGGAACAUCUGUGGCGAAGGCGGCCAUCUGGACCAGCACUGACACUGAGGCACGAAAGCGUGGGGAGCAAACAGG